AUUGAACGCUGGCGGCAGGCCUAACACAUGCAAGUCGAACGAGUGGCGGACGGGUCAGUAAUGUCCGGGAAACUGCCCGAUGGAGGGGGAUAACUACGGGAAACGGUAGCUAAUACCGCAUACCAUCAGCUGUGCCCAGAUGGGAUUAGCUGGUUGGUGGGGUAACGGCUCACCUAGGCGACGAUCCCUAGCUGGUCUGAGAGGAUGACAAGCCACCCUGGAGGUGAGACACGGUCCAGAGUCCUACGGGAGGGAGCAGUGGGUAACAUUGGGCAAUUGGCGCGAUCCUUAUGCAACCAUGGCGCGUGUAUGAAGAAGACGUUCGGGUUGUAAAGAACGUUCAGCGGGUAGACGUUACCCGCAGAAGAAGCACCGGCUAACUCCGUGCCAGCAGCCGCGGUAAUUC
rnacentral:rRNA from 1 species